UACAGAGGGUGCGAGCGUUGUCCGGAAUCACUGGGCGUAAAGGGCGCGUAGGCGGCUCGGUAAGCGUGCGGUGAAAGCCCGGGGCUCAACCCCGGGUCGGCCGUGCGAACUGCAGAGCUGGAGCACUGUAGAGGCAGGUGGAAUUCCGGGUGUAGCGGUGGAAUGCGUAGAGAUCCGGAAGAACACCGGUGGCGAAGGCGGGUCUCUGGGCAGUAACUGACGCUGAGGAGCGAAAGCGUGGGGAGCGAACAGG
rnacentral:rRNA from 1 species